rnacentral:lncRNA from 1 species
CUGGGGUGGGAGACGUAUGUGGACAGAGGUGCACCCUGGUACUGGGGUGGGAGACGUGUGUGGACAGAGGUGCACCCAGGUACUGGGGUGGGAGACGUAUGUGGACAGAGGUGCACCCAGGUACUGGGGUGGGAGACGUGUGUGGACAGAUGUGCACCCAGAUACUGGGGUGGGAG